GACGCUGAGCAUGGCGCGGGCCAGCCCCCCGGAGGUGAUCCGCGCGGCGCAGAAGGACGAGUAUUACCUUGGGGGUCUGCGGAGCGCGGCGGGCAGCGCGCUGCACAGCCUGGCUGGUGCGAAGAAAUGGCUGGAGUGGAGGAAAGAGAUUGAACUGCUCUCAGACAUAGCCUACUUUGGCCUCACCACAAUUGCAGGCUACCAAACACUUGGCGAGGAAUAUGUUGGGAUCGUCCAAGUGGACCCAUCCCAGCGACGUGUGCCCUCCAGGCUUCGCCGCAGUGUGCUGGUCACACUACAUGUGGUUCUGCCCUACCUGUUAGACAAGGCUCUGCUGCCCUUGGAGCAGGAACUGCAAGCUGAUGGCGACAGCACACGACCCUCACAGGGAAGCUCGGUGUCUGGGCGCAGCCGGUCAAGGGCUCGGCGGUGGGUGCGUCACCACACAGCCUCCUUGACUGAACAGCAGAGGAAGGCACUCCAGCGGGCAGCCUUUGUCCUUCGACAGGGCCUCACCUGCCUCCAUCGGCUCCACAUUGCCUGGUUUUACAUCCAUGGUACCUUCUACCAUCUGGCCAAGAGGCUGGCAGGAAUCACUUAUCUGUGGGGACCACCUGCCUUGACAGCUACACACCCGCCACCUGCCUGGAGAGGACCGGAGGGCAUGGACAAGCUACAAGCUGCUGGGGCUCAUCUCCCUGCUGCACCUGGCACUCUCCAUGGGGCUGCAGCUGUACAGCUUCAGGCAGAGGCAGCGCGCCAGGAAGGAAUGGAGGCUGCACCGCAACCUGUCCCACCGCAGGAGUUCCCUAGAUGAUAGAGCUGUUUGCAGAAGCCCUUUGUGUACCCUAUGCUUAGAGGAACGUAGGCACUCCACAGCCACACCCUGCGGCCACCUCUUCUGCUGGGAAUGCAUCACUGAGUGGUGCAACACCAAGACAGAGUGUCCCCUGUGCAGAGAGAAGUUCCCUCCCCAGAAGUUGGUCUACCUACGGCACUAUCGCUGACUUGGCAUGAAGUCAUCUCCCGACAGCUCCAAGUAAUGGAGAAAGUUCAAGGAAGAAGCUCCUCAGAAUUGACUUAAUUGCACAGAAAAUAUAAAAUUCUCACACUUUGUUUCUUGUCAUAUAAGCUACUCCCAGCUAUUUGAUAGAAGACAAAAAACCAAAGCUGGUCAGAUGCCACGUCCACAUGGACAAGUGGACUGUGUUCCACAUAGGGGGUUGUUCAUCUUCAGCAGUCUGAACAAGGUCUUACCUUCUCCUUCCUGACCCACAUAUCUGAAAACUGCUUCAGAUGUCAGCCAGCAGUUUUAUUCACUCAGAAGAAGCCAGCCAUCACAAUGUGGAAGCAGAGCUAAGUGUCUGGUUGAGACUGCAAUGGUUUGCAUAGAGCCCCCUAGGUUACCCCCACACACAGCGAGACACUUGGGAUGUACUUAAUGUGUGUUACUUGCUUUCAUCUUAAUGAGGGUUUUCAUCUUGGCUGUUACACAUGUAUAGAGGGGCUUCCCAAAUGGCAGAACCAGCUUAAAUGAGCAGUUUUCUCCUAA